rnacentral:lncRNA from 1 species
AUACAAAAUUAGGCAACUAAAGUACGUAAGAACCCAGUGACUCUAGGUAGCAAUGCUCAUUCUAGAGGGACACAGUCAAGGGGAGUAUGCACUCUGACACAAUUGUUCAUUAUUCACAGCUCUUGACAUGUCUUAUAUCAAGAAAAGGGCUUCCCCCCUCCCCCAAGUAUCUUUAACUAUUCUCAAAGUUUAUUCACUAUCAUUUCACUUUGAAAGUUCUGUGCAUUUCUUGCAUUUGCCGGAAUUUGUGUGAUAAAGAUAACAUUUGUUUCCAUUACUGGGAAUUUAGAAUACUACUCAUUCCAGUUCUGUUGCUAAAUCACUGCAUUAAGCAAAUAAUUUCUCUGCAUUUCUAUCAUCUCAGAAU